rnacentral:rRNA from 1 species
GAUGAACGCUGGCGGCGUGCCUAAUACAUGCAAGUCGAGCGAACAGACGAGGAGCUUGCUCCUCUGACGUUAGCGGCGGACGGGUGAGUAACACGUGGAUAACCUACCUAUAAGACUGGGAUAACUUCGGGAAACCGGAGCUAAUACCGGAUAAUAUAUUGAACCGCAUGGUUCAAUAGUGAAAGACGGUUUUGCUGUCACUUAUAGAUGGAUCCGCGCCGCAUUAGCUAGUUGGUAAGGUAACGGCUUACCAAGGCAACGAUGCGUAGCCGACCUGGGAGGGUGAUCGGCCACACUGGAACUGAGACACGUUCCAGACUCCUACGGGAGGCAGCAGUAGGGAAUCUUCCGCAAUGGGCGAAAGCCUUACGGAGCAGCGCCGCGUGAGUGAUGAAGGUCUUCGGAUCGUAAAACUCUGUUAUUAGGGAAGAACAAAUGUGUAAGUAACUAUGCACGUCUUGACGGUACCUAAUCAGAAAGCCACGGCUAACUACGUG